UACGGAGGGGACUAGCGUUGUUCGGAAUUACUGGGCGUAAAGCGCACGUAGGCGGAUUUGUGAGUCAGGGGUGAAAUCCCGGGGCUCAACCUCGGAACUGCCUUUGAUACUGCAAAUCUCGAGUCCGGAAGAGGUGAGUGGAAUUCCUAGUGUAGAGGUGAAAUUUGUAGAUAUUAGGAAGAACACCAGUGGCGAGGCGGCUCACUGGUCCGGUACUGACGCUGAGGUGCGAAAGCGUGGGGAGCAAACAGG
rnacentral:rRNA from 1 species